UACGUAGGGUGCGAGCGUUGUCCGGAAUUACUGGGCGUAAAGAGCUCGUAGGUGGUUUGUCGCGUUGUCCGUGAAAACUCACAACUCAAUUGUGGGCGUGCGGGCGAUACGGGCAGACUGGAGUACUGCAGGGGAGACUGGAAUUCCCGGUGUAGCGGUGGAAUGCGCAGAUAUCAGGAGGAACACCAGUGGCGAAGGCGGGUCUCUGGGCAGUAACUGACGCUGAGGAGCGAAAGCGUGGGGAGCGAACAGG
rnacentral:rRNA from 1 species